rnacentral:rRNA from 1 species
CUGACCUGCCCAAUGAGGAAUUCAAUGGCCGCAGUAUUUUAACUGUGCUAAGGUAGCAUAAUCAUUUGUCUUUUAAUUGAGGGCUGGAAUGAAAGGUUGGACGAGAUAUUGACUUUCUUUAGUUUAAUUUUAAGAAUUUAAUUUUUAAGUUAAAAAGCUUAAAUUUAUUUGUUGGACGAGAAGACCCUAUAGAUCUUUAUAAUUUUAUAUUUUGAUAAUUUGGAGAUUUUAUUUAUUGUAAGUAGAAGAAUUAUUUUGUUGGGGUGACUGUAGAAUUUUAUUAACUUCUAUUAUUUUUAUUUCAUUGAUUGGUGUUUUUUUGAUCCAUAUAUUUAUGAU